rnacentral:rRNA from 1 species
UUUAGAGGAAGUAAAAGUCGUAACAAGGUUUCCGUAGGUGAACCUGCGGAAGGAUCAUUACAAAUGACUGGGAUGUCCUAUCGGACCCCCAAGCAAACACAUCUAUGUGUACUCUGCCAUGUUGCUUCCCCAGACCAGUGGCCACUGCUGCCAGCCCAGCCCCUAAUGGGUUCCUGGGUUGAGGUGUCUGGGGAAGGGCUCAAUAUCAAACUUUUCAACCCACUAGUCGUCUGAGAAGGCCAUGUGCCGCAAUAUUUAAACAAGUUAAAACUUUCAACAACGGAUCUCUUGGCUCUCGCAUCGAUGAAGAACGCAGCGAAAUGCGAUAAGUAAUGUGAAUUGCAGAAUUCAGUGAAUCAUCGAAUCUUUGAACGCACAUUGCGCCCUUUGGUAUUCCUUAGGGCAUGCCUGUUCGAGCGUCACUAAAAACCGACUCACAUAUCGUGUGGUAUUGGUAGAAGUGGAUAGUACUAACACUACUUUGUCUUACUCUGCUGAAAUGAAUAGGCCAGAAAAGUGGACCAUGGUAAUAGAUUCCAGGAGUGUUUUAAAAUGCUAUACUAGUCUUAUCCAAGUCAUAUUCUGAGCCACUGGACCCCCCAUUUAGUCCAAACAACAGUGGUUGACCUCGGAUCAGGUAGGGAUACCCGCUGAACUUAAGCAUAUCAAUAAAGCCGGAAGGAAAUC